UGGCCAAUGGGGGGAUCGAAACCACGACCUUCGCGUUAUUAGCACGACGCUUUAACCAACUGAGCUAUUGGGCC
rnacentral:tRNA from 1 species